rnacentral:rRNA from 1 species
GCGACCCCAGGUCAAGCGGGACUACCCGCUGAGUUUAAGCAUAUCAAUAAGCGGAGGA